rnacentral:rRNA from 1 species
UACAGAGACUGCAAGCGUUAUUCGGAUUCACUGGGCGUAAAGGGUGCGCAGGCGGUUGGGUGUGUCAGAUGUGAAAUCCCUCGGCUCAACCAAGGAAGUGCAUUCGAAACCGCAAGGCUGGAGUCCCGGAGAGGAUGGUGGAAUUCUCGGUGUAGAGGUGAAAUUCGUAGAUAUCGAGAGGAACACCGGCGGCGAAGGCGGCCAUCUGGACGAGGACUGACGCUGAGAUGCGAAAGCGUGGGGAGCAAACAGG